CGGAUACUCCCUUCGUCCGGAAAUACUUGUCCUAGAAAUGAAUAAAAUGAAUGUAUCUAUAACUAAAAUAAGUCUAUAUACAAUCAUUUUCAAGACAAGUAUUUCCGAAUGGAGGGAGUACGUC
rfam:Triticum urartu cultivar G1812 contig112761, whole genome shotgun sequence.